AUUGAACGCUGGCGGCAGGCCUAACACAUGCAAGUCGAGCGGAGCUGCGGACGGGUGAGUAAUGCCUAGGAAUCUGCCUGGUAGUGGGGGAUAACGCCCGGAAACGGGCGCUAAUAUCGCAUACUAUCAGAUGAGCCUAGGUCGGAUUAGCUAGAUGGUGGGGUAAAGGCUUAGCAAGGCGACGAUGCGUAACUGGUCUGAGAGGAUGAUCAGUCACACUGGAACUGAGACACGGUCCAGACUCCUACGGGAGGCAGCAGUGGGGAAGAUUGUACAAUGGGCGAAAGCCUGAUCCAGCCAUGCCGCGUGUGUGAAGAAGGUCUUCGGAUUGUAAAGCACUUUAAGUAGGGAGGCGUUACCAACAGAAUAAGCACCGGCUAACUUCGUGCCAGCAGCCGCGGUAAUAC
rnacentral:rRNA from 1 species